rnacentral:lncRNA from 1 species
AUACCUCUCUCUUGGAAUACAUCGAGUCCAAAGAAGACACACCUCUGAAGUCAGCCUCUCUCUAUAAUCUGCAUUCUUGGUCAACUCAAGAGACUGAGCUGUAACUUGACUAUGGAACUGCUACUAUAAACCCAGCAGGGUAAACCCGGGCAUCUGAAAACGGUCAGCGCAUUUCAGAGACAGGGAUUGAUGAAGGCAUAGAUGAAGAAAGGCUCAGUACCUUUAUGGGCAGAAUCAGCAUUUGGAGGGGAAAAAAAUGUAUCUCCUGUGGCUAAAGGUGGGCAUGUUAAAAAAUAUAAACAUGCUACCUGGAACCACUGCCAAGUGCCACUAAAUGGAGAAGGAAUAAGAUGAACUCAAGAGCAUCACCUACAGGGGAAAAUGA